rnacentral:lncRNA from 1 species
GUUGAAACAACUGAAACAAUUCAUGAAACAAUUUUGAUUAAAAGUGCGACACGCAGAGCUGUACAGAUGUCAGCGAAUGUAGUUGGCAGCUGCCAGUAGAACGUGCAGGACGCGGCAGGACUACACUUCACACUCCAUUCUCAACAGGUAAAAGUCAGCGCAGCAAAACCCACGUAGAACUCGAGUAACUCUGGUAAAACAACGGGUGCCCCCAGAGGUCGUAAAAGUUGAGAUUUGAACGCGCCACGCCACGCCACGCCACAUCGUACACGUGUUAGAUGAAAGUUGCAAGCACUCGGAAAGGACUGCGACUGGGAGGAAAGUGUUUGGGUACAGCUGACGCCACUACGCGCUGCAAGAUGGCGCCAUAAAGCACUAAAAAGUAUUAAAACAAUUUACACUUUGUAAAAAAGAGCUAGAGAGCGAGCAGCAACCAAAAACAACUGUAACAAAAAA